rnacentral:rRNA from 1 species
UACGUAGGGGACAAGCGUUGUCCGGAUUUAUUGGGCGUAAAGAGCGUGUAGGCGGCCUGGAAGGUCAGCUGUGAAAACUCGAGGCUCAACCUCGAGACGUCGGUUGAAACCACCUGGCUAGAGUCCGGAAGAGGAGUGUGGAAUUCCCGGUGUAGCGGUGAAAUGCGCAGAUAUCGGGAAGAACACCCGUGGCGAAGGCGGCACUCUGGGACGGUACUGACGCUGAGACGCGGAAAGCGUGGGGAGCGAACAGG